GAAUUUAUGGAAAUAGAAGGUGAUUUUGAGAGAUAGUUGACUGAAAUAUCCCUUUUAUUUCCUUUUAG
ensembl:miRNA Mir7061 microRNA 7061